UUUGAUCCUGGCUCAGGAUGAACGCUGGCGGCGUGCCUAAUACAUGCAAGUCGAGCGAAUGGAUUAAGAGCUUGCUCUUAUGAAGUUAGCGGCGGACGGGUGAGUAACACGUGGGUAACCUGCCCAUAAGACUGGGAUAACUCCGGGAAACCGGGGCUAAUACCGGAUAACAUUUGCACUGCAUGGUGCGAAAUUGAAAGGCGGCUUCGGCUGUCACUUAUGGAUGGACCCGCGUCGCAUUAGCUAGUUGGUGAGGUAACGGCUCACCAAGGCAACGAUGCGUAGCCGACCUGAGAGGGUGAUCGGCCACACUGGGACUGAGACACGGCCCAGACUCCUACGGGAGGCAGCAGUAGGGAAUCUUCCGCAAUGGACGAAAGUCUGACGGAGCAACGCCGCGUGAGUGAUGAAGGCUUUCGGGUCGUAAAACUCUGUUGUUAGGGAAGAACAAGUGCUAGUUGAAUAAGCUGGCACCUUGACGGUACCUAACCAGAAAGCCACGGCUAACUACGUGCCAGCAGCCGCGGUAAUACGUACGUGGCAAGCGUUAUCCGGAAUUAUUGGGCGUAAAGCGCGCGCAGGUGGUUUCUUAAGUCUGAUGUGAAAGCCCACGGCUCAACUGUGGAGGGUCAUUGCAAACUGCGAGACUUGAGUGCAGAAGACGAAAGUGGAAUUCCAUGUGUAGCGAUGAAAUGCGUACACAUAUGGAGGAACACCAGUGGCGAAAGCUAC
rnacentral:rRNA from 1 species